GCCUGGUGGUUGGUGUCAGCCUGAGAAGUGGACGAAGGAGAUAAUCCUGGAAGUCUAAAUGCCUUCUUGGAAAACAGAACUAGAAUUCCAGAGUGACUGCCAAAAUUCAGGCUGAAGCUUGAUGAAGCUGAGAAGAACAGAGUCUUAAGGAAUACAUUAUCUCUAGUGUGAAGGGUGGGGGAUAAUCUUGACAAGUCAUGCUCACUUAGGACUUCACAUCACCUGCUCCUAUUGAAGCACCAAACAAAACUGGUCAUGUCUAGGAUCCAAAUCACCUUCCAUUUAAGCCUGUGACAGCAGGGAAAUAAAGUACCCACUUUGAAACCACUAGCAGUGGUAACAAGCAACAUUUUCCUGAGUCUCAUCCUGUAUUAGUUUUUACUCUCCUAUAAUAAUUGGUGACUGCUUUGUGUGCUAGAAGAAGAGAAGCAUGCCCAUGUACAUCAUCAAAACCACUUUUAGAUGUCUCUGUUUAUUACAGAUCAUUUCUGCCAAUAGGCUUAUAGCUUUUUUACAUUUCUGUAGUAUGUACAGAAGACUGUUGUUUCUAAUGUUAAGAAUAUCAAGUUUGGGGCAUACUAUUUUCCCCAGUUGUACAUUCCACUCUUCAAAUGACUUGGGUUUAAAUGAGUUUAACUUAACAGCAAAGGAUAAAUAAAGCAGCAACUUAGGACAUAUUUAUUGCAUAGAGUAAGGAAAAUAUUCACAAAUUUGCUAAGAAAAUGAUUUAAAUCUUCCUUAUGCUUUCCGUACAUUUCAUGGUAUGGGAGCGUUUAAGAUUUGGAAAUCAGUUUUUCUCUACCAAAGACCAUUCACAGGCAUUCCCAUUCUGUAUCUACCUGUGAAGCAGCUCUUGCUCUCCUUGCUAAUUCAAACAAACUACAAACCCUGAAAAUGAGUUCUGUCAACUACUACCUACAAGCUUUAAGAGUCACCUUAGUGGGAUUUUUCUUCAAGUGACACUGUAUAUGCUGAACAGAAUAAUCUGAUUAGCCUUUUUUAAUAAAGCUGAACAAUUUUCUUAAAGGAGUUGAAAUCUGGUUUAUGCAGAACUAUAUUUCUUUCUUCCAUUUCCUAGAAGACUUCAUUUUGUGGAUAAACAAUUCAAUUUACAUUUGGAAUCAGAUAAAACAGCUUAGUUUCUGUUCCACGGGAACAGUUUCCGUACUGGCAAGCAAUUUUAACUUGAGUACACUGAUGCUGUAAGCCAAAUGCAUUAGUAUAUUUGAAUCUCUGGGCUUUGUUUGUGCAUGUCUCUAAAAGAAAAAGAAAUCAAAAACUAGGAAGCAUAAUUAACAAAAUGUCACAGUGCUGUUUCGACUGACAAAGGGAGGUACCAAAUAGAAAGGUUUGUAAAGCAGUGUAGUAUUUUAUGGAUCAAGUAAUAUAAAUCAUGCAAGCCAUAGCUUUCAAAAGCGAAGUGAGAAGUAAUGGCUUAGAAUUCAGUCUCAAGUAAAAGGCAACUAAAAUAAAGGUACGUUUCAUCAGAGAAAUGAGAAGGCAUAAGAGAAUACUUUCGAAGUAAAAUAUAUAGCUAAUAAAAUGGCAGAGAGUGAAAUAAGAUCCCAUAGACCAGAUGACAUUAGAGAAUCCGACUCCAGCAUUUAAGGGAGGUUGGAAGUUUAUUAAAUCAAUGCUUCUGACAUCAGUUACAUUUUUAACUAGAAUAGAAGGGAAGUUGCUCCGUUGCACUGAAAGCAAAUCACUGAAAGUUCAGCUACAGUGAAGCUCUUAACAAACCAGUAGCAAGUAAAGUUAGGUGGUAAGGGGCCCCUUUACAAAUGCUAUAAGUUCACUUAAUCUCUGUUGGAAGCAGCAGUACAGGUGUGCACAACGCAGGAGUACUUAUUUCAACCCUUUUAACCUGAAAUAGUUAAGCACGCAGUUGAGAUGAGCACAGUGCUGGCUGCACUGAAGUGAAUU